GUUGACUGGCACAGCACUGAUUCAAGAAUAACAUGCGGCUGUAAAUAUAGACAGUGCAACCAAGUUUCGAUUAUUGCAAGAGGCGUAUUUUCACAGAUAGUGAUCGCUUGAUAAAGUUUUUGACGGACGUGAUAAUUACUAACUCUGUAACCGAAGAAAGGAUAUGCUACAUCGACGGCGAGAAAAAAGAACAUAAUAUCGCUAAAAUAGGAAUUUGGAAUGGCAACAAGAUAUCGUGACCGCUACAUUAACAACUGAUUUCUGUUUGCCAAUUGGAGGUGUCAUCGCCAUUGCUAUAGGCCAAUUUACAUUCUUCAUUGUGGGAAAGGUUAUCCCAACGCAAACGGCGCUUUGCCAUUUGUUGCCAG